rnacentral:rRNA from 1 species
AUUUUGACGUUAGCUGCAGAAGAAGCACCGGCUAACUCCGUGCCAGCAGCCGCGGUAAUACGGAGGGUGCGAUCGUUAAUCGGAAUUACUGGGCGUAAAGCGCAUGCAGGUGGUUUGUUAAGUCAGAUGUGAAAGCCCGGGGCUCAACCUCGGAAUUGCAUUUGAAACUGGCAAACUAGAGUACUGUAGAGGGGGUAGAAUUUCAGGUGUAGCGGUGAAAUGCGUAGAGAUCUGAAGGAAUACCGGUGGCGAAGGCGGCCCCCUGGACAGAUACUGACACUCAGAUGCGAAAGCGUGGGGAGCAAACAGGAUUAGAUACCCUGGUAG